rnacentral:misc_RNA from 1 species
AUAUAUCAACCUUCUCUUGUUGAGUGGGUUUGGAUGUGGGGGUUUGCUGGCCUCUUAAGAGGUUUCAGCUCUCCUGAAAUGCAUUAGCAGAACAACCCUGUUCAUUGGUGUGAUAACUAUCUACGCUGCUUGUUGACAGUGAAGCAAGUUCAGCUUCUAACAGUCCAUUAAAUUGGACAAAUUUUUAUUA